AUACGGAGGGUGCAAGCGUUAAUCGGAAUUACUGGGCGUAAAGCGCUCGUAGGCGGCUUGUUAAGUCGGAUGUGAAAGCCCCGGGCUCAACCUGGGAACUGCAUUCGAUACUGGCAAGCUAGAGUAUGGUAGAGGGAAGUGGAAUUUCCGGUGUAGCGGUGAAAUGCGUAGAUAUCGGAAGGAACACCAGUGGCGAAGGCGACUUCCUGGGCCAAUACUGACGCUAAGGUGCGAAAGCGUGGGGAGCAAACAGGAUUAGAUACCCCGGUAGUCC
rnacentral:rRNA from 1 species